rnacentral:rRNA from 1 species
CAGUAGCCGCGGUAAUACGUAGGUGGCAAGCGUUGUCCGGAAUUAUUGGGCGUAAAGGGCUCGCAGGCGGUUUCUUAAGUCUGAUGUGAAAGCCCCCGGCUCAACCGGGGAGGGUCAUUGGAAACUGGGAAACUUGAGUGCAGAAGAGGAGAGUGGAAUUCCACGUGUAGCGGUGAAAUGCGUAGAGAUGUGGAGGAACACCAGUGGCGAAGGCGACUCUCAGGUCUGUAACUGACGCUGAGGAGCGAAAGCGUGGGGAGCGAACAGGAUUAGAGACCCCGGUAGUCCCUGUCUCUUAUAC